UACGUAGGGUGCAAGCGUUAUUCGGAAUUACUGGGCGUAAAGCGUGCGCAGGCGGUUUUGUAAGUCUGUCGUGAAAGCCCCGGGCUCAACCUGGGAAUUGCGAUGGAGACUGCAAGGCUUGAAUCUGGCAGAGGGGGGUAGAAUUCCACGUGUAGCAGUGAAAUGCGUAGAUAUGUGGAGGGAUACCGAUGGCGAAGGCAGCCCCCUGGGAUAACACUGACGCUCAUGCACGAAAGCGUGGGGAGCAAAAGGG
rnacentral:rRNA from 1 species